AUUGAACGCUGGCGGCAGGCCUAACACAUGCAAGUCGAGCGAGCGGAGGCCGGGUGAGUAAUGUAUGGUGAAUGCCCGAUAGAGGGCGAUAACUACUGGAAACGGUAGCUAAUACCGCAUACUAUCGGAUAACCCAUAUGGGAUUAGCUAGUAGGUGAGGUAAUGGAUCACCUAGGCGACGAUCCCUAGCUGGUCUGAGAGGAUGAUCAGCCAAACGGGGAAUGAGACACGGCCCAGACUCCCACGGAGGCAGCAGUGGGGAAGAUUGGACAAUGGGCGAAAGCCUGAUGGAGCCAUGCCGCGUGUGUGAAGAAGGCCCGAGGAUUGUAAAGUACUGUCAGUCGAGAAGCGUUACCGACAGAAGAAGCACCGGCUAACUCCGUGCCAGCAGCCGCGGUAAUUC
rnacentral:rRNA from 1 species